AAUCAACGCUGGCGGCGUGCCUAACACAUGCAAGUCGAACGCGAAAAACCCCGCAAGGGGUUAGUAGAGUGGCAAAACGGGUGAGUAACGCGUGGGUGACCUGCCUUCGAGCGGGGGAUAACGUUUCGAAAGGAACGCUAAUACCGCAUAACAUCCCGCCCUUGAACGGGUGGAGAUCAAAGCUGGGGAUCGCAAGACCCGGNACUUGAAGNGGGGCCCNCGUCUGAUUAGCUAGUUGGUGGGGUAAACGCNCACCAAGGCAACGAUCAGUAUCCGGCCUGAGAGGGC
rnacentral:rRNA from 1 species